rnacentral:rRNA from 1 species
CACUAUAGAAUCGCCUGUUUAUCAAAAACAUGGCCUUUUGUGUUUUGAUAUAUAAGGUCUGACCUGCUCACUGAGGUUACACUUAAAGAGCUGCAGUAUAUCUGACUGUACGAAGGUAGCGUGAUAAUUUGUCUAUUAAUUGUAGACUUGGAUGAAUGGUUUGACAAGGUGAAUACUGUCUCCUUCAAAAAGGGUUGAAUUUCAUUUUCUAGUGAAGAAGCUGGAAUGAAUCCAAGGGACGAGAAGACCCUAUAGAUUUUUAGUAAAUUGAUUUAUGAUAGGUUAGUUAAUGUUUAAAUUGUAUCGACGGAGAAGUUUAGGUCUGUUAUUUUUGCUGGGGCGGCAGUUGAAGAAAAGUAUCUUCAGUUAUAAGUAAAUCAUUUGUGGAUGAGAUGAUCCCAUAUUAUGGAUAGAAAGAUAAAAAAUACCUUAGGGAUAACAGCGUUAUUCUUUUUGAGAGUUCAUAUCGACAAGAGAGAUUGCGACCUCGAUGUUGAAUUAGGAGUGAGUAGUUAGGUGUAGGAGCUUAAAUUCUGGGUCUGUUCGACCUUUAAAUUUCUACGUGAUCUGAGUUCAGACC